rnacentral:lncRNA from 1 species
AUGUCCUCCAACGUGGCCCCCAGGCAGCGGUCUGGGCAGGCAGGGCCAGCAGGGGACUUGAGGACGACGGUGGACAUGAGCUGCCACCGAAGGCCACACCCACAAGAGGACAGAGAAGCCGGCAGUGACACCCACAGCGGGGAGGCAGCCAGCGUCUGCGGAGGCCUUUCCCGUCCUCAGCCCCAGGGCCUGACGCCCGGAGACAUCGUAAAAGCGAUCCCUCAGCAACCCCCGGAACUUGCUGUGCACCAGGUGGCCAUCCAGUGGUUACCAUCAAAUCUCGCUUAAUCUUCCCUGCAGCUCCACGGGGCAGGUAAGUUUUGUCCCCAUUUUACAGAUAAGGAAACAGAGGUUCAGCCAGGUGCCAUUUGCAUGCAUUAGAAGUCAGAAACAACACCCCCUCUAAAUUUUUAAUUUUUUCAGUAUUGGGGAUUGAACCCAAAGCUUUGCCGCUGAGCUAUAUGCCUAGCACGUUUUUAAAAUUUUAAAUUUUGAGACAGGGUCUUGCUGAAUUGCCAAGUUGCCAGGCUCAAUCCUCCUGCCUCAGCCUCCCAGCGUGCUAGGAUAAGAGGUGUGUGUCACCACGCCCGAGCCCCAAUUGCUCCUGAACCCCUAUUCGCACCAACAGAGAAGGAAGCUGUGUUUUCCAGAGGGAGCCAGGCCAUAAUUCUACACCACCAAACUCCGACAAAAGUCCCUGAGUCUGAGGCCUGCUCCGGGAAAAUCAGCAUGUACCUGUGGAAGCUGCUCUGCUGGUCAUCUCUGCUUCCUUCCAGGGCAAUGAUGAGGUCUGGAGGUGAGAGAUUCCUGCUUCGGACCCUCAGAUGAGUCUACACAGUGGGCUCCUCGGGCUCAGCUCAGAGACUCUCGAGCACUAGGCAUGGGAGCCCGGCCGUGAGCAACGAAGUCUAAGCGGACAUGGGACACUUCAGGGCGGGGACAUCAAGGUGGAGACUGAGGACCAGGACAAGCCAAGGUUAUGCAGGAUAAGGAGGCGGAAACAGGAGUAAGUUCCUGAACCAGGCAUGGUGCCAUGUAGCUGUCCCAGCACUCCAGGAGGCUGAGGCAGGAGGGUCCCAAGCUUGAGCCUAGUUUACGGAACAUAGCAAGAUCCUGUCUCAAAAUAGGACAGAAAAACGGGCUGGGGAAGUAACUCCGUUGGACAGCCAGAAUUCCUUCUCUGGGCUCCAUCUCCCCAGGGAAUGCUGUCAUCAGACCACUCACCUCUCACCUACGCUGGACAGGCUGACUUCAGACGGAUUGGUGACACAGCACUGUUUCAAGCCAGCAGACUUUAAAUACAGGCGCGCUGUGCAUUAAACAGGAAGUUCCAAUGCUGUGCAUAGGGAGGGCAGGAAAAAUGGCCAGGGUGCUUCUCUGCUUCUCUUUACAGAAUCUCAGGGAAGCUGGCUUAAACUGGUGUUAGGGUUUGGAUCUAAACAGUCCCACCAAAUUUUCAGCUUUGCAGGUGGGGCCUGGUGAAAGAGGUGGCCUGGGGCGGGGCCUGGAAGAGUUUAUCUCCCUCCUGGCUCCACCCUCUCUCUCCACUUCCUAUCCACCGUGAUGAGCAGCUCUCCUCCGCCAGGCCCCUCUGCCAGGCCAGCUGGCCUUGAAGCAGCCAACUGUGGACUGAAGCAUAAGCCAAAAUAAACCUCUCCUCCUUAAGCUGUGGUUGUUGGGUACUUUGUUCUAGCAGCAAGAAAGUGACUAAGCAACUUGUCUUCCAGGGCCUCCCGAGCAACAGU